UACGGAGGGUGCAAGCGUUAAUCGGAAUUACUGGGCGUAAAGCGUGCGUAGGCGGUUCGUUAAGUCUGUUGUGAAAGCCCCGGGCUCAACCUGGGAAUGGCAAUGGAUACUGGCGAGCUAGAGUGUGUCAGAGGAUGGUGGAAUUCCUGGUGUAGCGGUGAAAUGCGCAGAUAUCAGGCGGAACACCCGUGGCGAAGGCGGCUCUCUGGGACGGUACUGACGCUGAGACGCGAAAGCGUGGGGAGCGAACAGG
rnacentral:rRNA from 1 species